rnacentral:lncRNA from 1 species
CAUGAGGAAGGUGACCAUACCAAAACUGAGAUGUGGAUCGAUGGAUCAUGCACCAUGAGGUAUACGCGGGAACUAAAGCGCGGUAGGCCCCCCCUACGGCCUUGCUUGAUGCACAUCCAUAAGCAUUUCUUCUGCUUUCCAGGUGUUGCUUCUACGUGCAAUGUUAUCAUUCACUAACUUAUCGAGUACCACGCAGGAAUGCCACUUUUCUACCUGAAUAACGUCAGCAGCUAACCGUGCACAGUUAAUCUUAAUCCUCCCGAUCCUCGUCACUAAACUUUGGGAACCAAUAGGUAGCAGCAACUGAAUAACUAUAUUUGAAUAAUAAGCUAACUUGCACAAUCGGCACAAAAUAUUAUUUAU